CUGGAGGCCCCGGCCCCCCGGCGUUCCCUCUCCGCGCACCUCCCGGCCCGCGCUAGGUAGCAGGCAAGAGUGUGGUUAUCGUUGGACCAGGAUUCAGGAUCUGACUGAGUAGCUGACUCUUAAUCCAGUUUGUGUUGAUCACCAGGAGGAUCUGGACCUCAGUAUUACCACAUCUAGAGCUAUAAUCACAUCCCUGUUAAGCCUUCCUGAGAUCACACCAAAUGUCCUUGAUGGGAAUUGUAAACAACCCUUACUUCUGGUUUCUAAUGAUAUUCCAGGAAAGGAGCCUAACUAGAGUCAGUGAUAUGCCAACUCCACCUUUGCCUUCCACCAUGUUUGGAAGCUCCCUGAGGCCUCACCAGGAGCAGAUGCUCGUCCCAUGCUUCCUAUAAGCCUGCAGAACUGGAAAAGAAAGCUGGAUAAAGUAUUUAUAGAAGAUAGAGGACCUGUGGUGGCUCAUGCCUGUAAUCCAAGGUGGAAGGAUUGCUUGAGGCCAGAAGUUCAAGACCAGUCCAAGCAACAUAGCAAGGCCCCAUCUCUACAAAAAAUGAAAAUAAAAUUAGCCGAGCGUGAUGGCUCAUGCCUGUAGUUCUAGCUUCUAGAGAGGCUGAGGCAGGAGGAUUGCUUGAGUCCAGGAGUUCAAGAUUACAGUGAGCUAUGGUCACACCACUGCACUCCAGCCUGGGUGAUGGAGUGAGACUGUCUCAAUAAAAAGACAAAAAGGCUGGCCAGGGGCAGUGGUUCAUGCCUGUAAACCCAGCACUUUGGGAGGCAAAGGCAGGAGGAUUGCUUAAGCCCAGGAAUUUGAGAUCAGCCUGGACAACAUGGUCAAGGAAGCUUUUCCUGAUCCACUAACUAAGGACAAUCAAACCCUUCAUGAUCUAGAAUCUGGAGACUGUGUCUUCUGGGAAUAGUAUCAGAGAAAGACUGCCCUUACUGCCCACAUGUAGCAAAACUUUGAGACGUUGAAUUAUGGGUCCAUAAUCUCACAACUCAGAGGGGCACCUCUAGACUCUUGGAACUGUAUAUCUAUUGGAGACUUUAAGGUAAAGCUGAACAGAGAGACGUUUUUCUCCAGAAGCAGACAGCACCAUAGUCAUGGACAGCUUUCCCAAGAUCACAGAUCAAGACUUCUCUGCCGUCAUGAGACUCAUAACCUCUUAAUUUUUUCUUGCUUAUGCUUCUGUGAACAAUAGAAUUGGAAAAGGGGUGGUCCCGCGUGCACCCAUAGGGUAUACUUUUAUUUGUGGAGGAUUUUGCUGCCAACCUUAUACAUGGGCAAACUUAUGCCUUCAUGGAUGGAAGAUAAAGGGCUAAUAUGGGUUAGAAAUUUUAAUGGUACCUUUGUUUCUCCAUAAUCAUUCAGAAACAGAACACUGGUCCACUCUUGUUAACCUACAUCAUAGGUUGAAGAGAACAUUGCCAGGAGGCCUUCAUCCUUCCAGAUGGGCACCAUUUGUUGGGUCUUUUUCCGUGGUAUGAAGAAAAUGAAGCAAUGAUUAGAAAUUGGUCCCUCGGCCGGGCACAAUGGCUCAUGCCUGUAAUCCCAUCACUUUGGCAGGCCGAGGCGGGUGGAUCACCUGAGGUCAGGAGUUUGAGACCAGCCUGACCAAUGUGGUGAAACGCCAUCUCUACUAAAAAUACAAAAAUUAGCUGGGUGUGAUGGUGCACACCUGUAAUCCAGCUACUCGGGAGGCUGAGACAGGAGAAUUGCUUGAACCUGGGAGGCAGAGGUUGCAGUGAGCCAAGAUCACCCCACUGCAUUCCAGGUUGGGCAACAGAGCAAGACUCUGUCUCAAAAAAAAAAGAAGAAAGAAAGAAAUUGAUCCCUCAUAAUAGGCUGUAUAGCAGAUUCUACUGCAAAGGCUAUGGUUGCACAACAGACUUCUUUGAAUUUGCUUGCUAAACUUUUACUGGAUAAUACUGGGAUUACAGGUGUGAGCCACUGUGCCCAGCCUCUCCUGUUUAACUGUAUUCAUUCUAAUGUUUACUUACUUCUUUAAUUUGUAAAAUUGGGUCACUUAGAGUUUUUUUAGCCUAUCUUGCCAUUUAGCCACUGUUACUGAUAAUUUGGAUGGAAAAGAAAAAUAAAUUAUAUCACCUCUCAUCUUCAGUGUAUAUAUGUGUUAACUUAGUAAAUAUAGUAUUCUUUCUCGUUCCUAAUGAAAAUUUAGUUUACGUACUGAAACACUGCAAACUUUUAUAAAUAUUGUGAUGUAUUUGACCAAUACAAAGGAUCUUUUUAGAAACAGCAAACAGUUCUCAGAUUAUAGGAAUUACUCAUUUAAUGAUAGUUUCUUCUU
rnacentral:lncRNA from 10 species